rnacentral:rRNA from 1 species
GUCCACGCCGUAAACGAUGAGUGCUAAGUGUUGGGGGGUUUCCGCCCCUCAGUGCUGCAGCUAACGCAUUAAGCACUCCGCCUGGGGAGUACGGUCGCAAGACUGAAAACUCAAAGGAAUUGACGGGGGCCCGCACAAGCGGUUGAGCAUGUGGUUUAAUUCGAAGCAACGCGAAGAACCUUACCAGGUCUUGACAUCCCAUUGACCACUGUAGAGAUACAGUUUUCCCUUCGGGGACAACGGUGACAGGUGGUGCAUGGUUGUCGU